UACGUAGGGUGCAAGCGUUGUCCGGAAUCAUUGGGCGUAAAGAGCGUGUAGGCGGCUCGAUUAGUCCGCUGUAAAAGUCCAGGGCUCAACCCUGGGAUGCCGGUGGAAACUGUCGGGCUAGAGUCCGGGAGAGGCGAGUGGAAUUCCUGGUGUAGCGGUGAAAUGCGCAGAUAUCAGGAGGAACACCAAUAGCGAAGGUAGCUCGCUGGGACGUUACUGACACUGAGGCGCGAAAGCGUGGGGAGCGAACAGG
rnacentral:rRNA from 1 species